rnacentral:lncRNA from 1 species
AUUCCAUUCUCCAGCCAGUGGAACUUUAGAAGCGGAUUAUUACAGUAUAUGCCAAGUAGGACAGAGUCUGAAACUUCGCUUAAAUCAAAACGGAUUACUUCUCUGACUUUCUCUAAGCAAUAACAGAUUUGUCACUUGGCUACUGAAAGGACUUUGAUUAGUUGGAUAUGAUGAUUUUUGUGUGUGUGUGAAGCUGGCAGCCUUUAUUAGAGAUUCAAUUUUAAGAGAUUUAAAACGAAAAGUUUCAAGUAGAAAACACUAUGAAUUCUAUCGUUUUAAAAGAACAACUUCUCACACUAAAUAAAACUAUUUCUAAAUUCCUAAAUUGACUAUUUUGGUUACUUUAAGACAUCUUUUUUUCAUUUCAGGAGAAUUCCUUCACUAGAUGCUUAGUGUUACAGUCUUUUCUGACGAUCAUUAAAAGAAGGAAAAUUCAAUGAUAGUUUAGUGGUACAGUUGACUCUGUUUCUGUAUCAGAAAUAAUUUGCCCGUAUGAACUCAUAACGCCAGUCUUACUCAUUUGCUCAGAUGCAUUCUUCAACAUAUCUAUCUUUAUUUUCUAGCACCACGUGAGACAAGGAGUUGCUAGUUUAGCAGGUCUCUUUGUCUCCAUGCCUGUGACAAGGAUGAAUUACCUGACUCUGUGCCAGGGAGAAGACUCCAGCUCACUUAGCAGCCUCUUUGCCCUUGGAUUCUCACAUAGUGACAUCACUGAGAAGCAGCUGCCUCAAGGAAGUCGUGAAGGAGUUAACUUUACCCACCUGUCCAGAUAGAGUUUGGCUGUUGUUGGAAUAAAACUCAAGACUUCGGGAGAAGGAGCCCUAGU